UACGUAGGGUGCAAGCGUUGUCCGGAAUUAUUAGGCGUAAAGAGCUCGUAGGCGGUCUGUCGCGUCGGCUGUGAAAACUCGGGGCUCAACCCGAGCCUGCAGUCGAUACGGGCAGACUAGAGUUCGGUAGGGGAGACUGGAAUUCCUGGUGUAGCGGUGGAAAUGCGCAGAUAUCAGGAGGAACACCGAUGGCGAAGGCAGGUCUCUGGGCCAUAACUGACGCUGAGAAGCGAAAGCAUGGGGAGCGAACAGG
rnacentral:rRNA from 1 species